rnacentral:lncRNA from 1 species
CUUGAACUGUCAUGCUCGCUAGGCGAAGCCCACGUGUUAAAAAAACGAAAAACGAAAAAAAAAACGAAAAAAAAGAAUAAAUAAAUAAUUAAAUAAAAUAUAACAGAAAAAUUUUGGACUUGGGCCUCUCUCAUUUGAGCCCAUAGGUCCACAAAAAUCAUGUUAUAAAUUCAGAGUUUCAGUGAAACAAAAGGCAAUUAUAUUCUUAUUACCCUGGAAGGGAAAAAGAUAGUGAGAGAAGAG